GUUGUCGUUGCCGAGUGGUUAAGGCGACGGACUGAAAUUAUUUUGGUAUCUUCCCGCGCAGGUUCGAAUCCUGCCGAUAUCG
rnacentral:tRNA from 1 species